rnacentral:rRNA from 1 species
CGCUUUCGGGUGUCGCUGAUGGAUGGACCCGCGGUGCAUUAGCUAGUUGGUGAGGUAACGGCUCACCAAGGCCACGAUGCAUAGCCGACCUGAGAGGGUGAUCGGCCACAUUGGGACUGAGACACGGCCCAAACUCCUACGGGAGGCAGCAGUAGGGAAUCUUCGGCAAUGGACGAAAGUCUGACCGAGCAACGCCGCGUGAGUGAAGAAGGUUUUCGGAUCGUAAAACUCUGUUGUUAGAGAAGAACAAGGAUGAGAGUAACUGUUCAUCCCUUGACGGUAUCUAACCAGAAAGCCACGGCUAACUACGUGCCAGCAGCCGCGGUAAUACGUAGGUGGCAAGCGUUGUCCGGAUUUAUUGGGCGUAAAGCGAGCGCAGGCGGUUUCUUAAGUCUGAUGUGAAAGCCCCCGGCUCAACCGGGGAGGGUCAUUGGAAACUGGGAGACUUGAGUGCAGAAGAGGAGAGUGGAAUUCCAUGUGUAGCGGUGAAAUGCGUAGAUAUAUGGAGGAACACCAGUGGCGAAGGCGGCUCUCUGGUCUGUAACUGACGCUGAGGCUCGAAAGCGUGGGGAGCAAACAGGAUUAGAUACCCUGGUAGUCCACGCCGUAAACGAUGAGUGCUAAGUGUUGGAGGGUUUCCGCCCUUCAGUGCUGCAGCUAACGCAUUAAGCACUCCGCCUGGGGAGUACGACCGCAAGGUUGAAACUCAAAGGAAUUGACGGGGGCCCGCACAAGCGGUGGAGCAUGUGGUUUAAUUCGAAGCAACGCGAAGAACCUUACCAGGUCUUGACAUCCUUUGACCACUCUAGAGAUAGAGCUUCCCCUUCGGGGGCAAAGUGACAGGUGGUGCAUGGUUGUCGUCAGCUCGUGUCGUGAGAUGUUGGGUUAAGUCCCGCAACGAGCGCAACCCUUAUUGUUAGUUGCCAUCAUUCAGUUGGGCACUCUAGCAAGACUGCCGGUGACAAACCGGAGGAAGGUGGGGAUGACGUCAAAUCAUCAUGCCCCUUAUGACCUGGGCUACACACGUGCUACAAUGGGAAGUACAACGAGUUGCGAAGUCGCGAGGCUAAGCUAAUCUCUUAAAGCUUCUCUCAGUUCGGAUUGCAGGCUGCAACUCGCCUGCAUGAAGCCGGAAUCGCUAGUAAUCGCGGAUCAGCACGCCGCGGUGAAUACGUUCCCGGGCCUUGUACACACCGCCCGUCACACCACGAGAGUUUGUAACACCCG